rnacentral:rRNA from 1 species
UGCUUAACACAUGCAAGUCGAACGGGAAACUUUUAUUGAAGCUUCGGCAGAUUUAGCUGGUUUCUAGUGGCGGACGGGUGAGUAACGCGUGGGUAACCUGCCUUAUACAGGGGGAUAACAACCAGAAAUGGUUGCUAAUACCGCAUAAGCGCACAGGACCGCAUGGUCCGGUGUGAAAAACUCCGGUGGUAUAAGAUGGACCCGCGUUGGAUUAGCUAGUUGGCAGGGUAACGGCCUACCAAGGCGACGAUCCAUAGCCGGCCUGAGAGGGUGAACGGCCACAUUGGGACUGAGACACGGCCCAGACUCCUACGGGAGGCAGCAGUGGGGAAUAUUGCACAAUGGGGGAAACCCUGAUGCAGCGACGCCGCGUGAAGGAAGAAGUAUCUCGGUAUGUAAACUUCUAUCAGCAGGGAAGAUAGUGACGGUACCUGACUAAGAGGCCCCGGCUAACUACGUGCCAGCAGCCGCGGUAAUACGUAGGGGGCAAGCGUUAUCCGGAUUUACUGGGUGUAAAGGGAGCGUAGACGGACUGGCAAGUCUGAUGUGAAAGGCGGGGGCUCAACCCCUGGACUGCAUUGGAAACUGUUAGUCUUGAGUGCCGGAGAGGUAAGCGGAAUUCCUAGUGUAGCGGUGAAAUGCGUAGAUAUUAGGAGGAACACCAGUGGCGAAGGCGGCUUACU